rnacentral:lncRNA from 1 species
ACGUGGAUUCUAUUCAAGUUUAAAUUCUUUUUCCUCCACGUGGAUUCUAUUCAAGUUUAAACUCUUUUUCCUCAUUUCCAGUACUCUGUGUUUCUGUAUAAAAAGAAAAAAAGAAAAAAAACAAAUAAUUAGCUAGAAUUGAAAAGAAAGAAAAAAGAUCAAACAAGUUAUUCAAAGUCAAAAUUUUGAAUCUUAAUCCCAUAAAAAAGAAAAAGUAAAUAAAAAAUUCUAGUCUAAAGUGAUACUUAAUCCAGAAAGACUACAUAAUUUAAAGUUCAUUUGGCAAAAAGUCACUAAAUAGUAAUAAAGAUCAACACAUAGAACUUUGGAGAUUUAAAUUAGAACUAAUUGCACAGAACCCCUGUAUAAUUUCUAAUGGCCAAAAAAACCCUCAUAUUAAAAAAAUUAGCAAGAAUCCCCUUAUAUUAUUUUUUAUAAAGCAUACUGCCACUUAUUUCAUAUUUGGUUGUUGACUUAAGAGAAAUGACAAAAUUACCCUUUAUUAAAAAUAAUGAACAAUAUCCCAACCCAAAAAAAAUUUAAAAACAGAUGUAAAAAAAUACGAAAAAAAAGAAGAGAAAAAAUACUAUUAUUUCAUGUUUCCCGUCAAACCACACCCACCCACCUUCACCCCAUGUUUCAUUAUCUUCCACGUCAAACCAAACCCACCGACCACCAUCCCGCCACCCAAACCACCACCACCCACCACCACUCUGCUCCCAAAAACCACGCCGUCAAAGUCCUCAAAUUGAAGAUUCACCAGCUUCUUUUAGAAUUUUACUAAAGAAACUGAGGGUUUUUUAUGGCUGGUGGAGGAAUUCGGGUUUUGGUCAGAGGUGAAGACAAUCGUUUUGAAAAUAGAAAUCGGGAUUGACAUUUUCUGUUGAGGAUUGUGUUAAGGACUAAAUUAAAAAUCUGAGAUUGACGUUCCGAUUUUGGGUUAAUUUGGAGAGAGGAAUUUUUUGAAUAUGGCAAGGAUUGGAUUGAAAAUUUCGAAAACUUCAUUUUGGGGCACAUAAUUUUUUGGGUUGAAUUUGUAAUUUUUAAAAUUGAUAAUUGAAAGGUUAUUUUAAGGCAAUGUUUGGAAGCGUUUUGGAUCUUAUUUUGAUUUCAUUUUGAGGAAAUAUGUUUUGGGGGAAUAAUUUGAGAAUGAAAGUAAUGUUUGUUUGUAUUUUGGAAGGAGACAAAAUACACUGUAGAAGUCAAAUCAUGUUUAAAUGUGUUAGAAAAAGGUAUUUUUGAAGAAAAAAAUUGAAAGAUGAAGUGAUGUUUAUUUGUUUUUUAGUGAAGACAUUUUUUACUGUAGCAGUCACAUCAUUUUACUGUAGCAGUCACAUCAUGUCUUAAGGAGAGAGAAACUUUUGAAAUUGUUUUGAGAAUAUGAUUUGAAAAGUGUAAUAAAUUUCAUUUUGUUUUGGGGAAACAAUGAAAACAAAAUGGAAAUGGUUCCAAACAUUAGUUUUUUCGAGUUGAAAAGUACAUCCCCAAUCGCACAAUCCGCGGGUGUUGUUAGACACAGCCACGGGCCGGUUUUGGGCCCGGAACCGGCCCGUUGACGAACCGGCCCAACCCGUUGACCGGUGAACCGGCCCGGGACCCGUGAACCGGCCCGUCGUCCCCGGGACGGGUCCGGUUCUAUGAAUUGGUGAACCGUGAACCGCCGGGACGGCCCGGCGGUUCACCCAAAUUUAAAACAAAAAAAUCAAAAAAAUUCAAAAAAAAAAGCAAAAAACGGCCGGUGAACCGGCCCAGUGAACCGACCGUUUUUUGCUAUUUUUUGAAUUCCCCCCCCCCCCCAUUUUUUCUUAUAAAUACCCUUACACCCCAUUCUGUUUUUAAAUUUUUUUUGUGUUGGGAUAUUUUUCAUUAUUUUUAAUAAAGGGUAAUUUUGUCAUUUCUCUUAAGUCAACAGCCAAAUAUGAAAUAAGGGGCAGUAUGCUUUGUAAAAAAUAAUAUAAGGGGAUUCUUGCUAAAAUUUGAGUACUUAUAGGACUAAAACUCUACCUACUCAAACUUAUAGGAUCAAAACUCCAAUUCUUGGAACUCCAAUUUUCCUAUAUGUAGUCAGCAAAGUUAGGGUUGCAAACAAGUAUUAUUUCUCCGCCGUUGCCAGAUCUCCUUGAUGGCUGCGUUUCAACGUGAUUCGAUUUUUUUUUAUUAAUAUUUAUUUUUGGGACUAUUAGUCAUAACCCCCUCUAGUGUUUUUUUAAUAAUGGGGGAUCCAGCCAUAUUUUCAAUAUUGGUAGGAAAUCCACUAUUUUAAUUAAUCCCGAAAAUAGCCUUUUUGGAGCCACGUUAUGUGUAAUAAAAAAUCACUAAAAAUCUGGAAAAUAAACUGCUGAAACGUGUGAGAUUUUUCCCCAAAUCUCGCUCUUCCUAAUCUUUCCAUAACUCCCACUGCAAAACCUAAUUCUGCUAAACAACUACGCCGGCGACAAAACCUAUGGGUAGAGAAAUUGAAUCGCGGCCAAAUUCUUAAACUCACUCACCCACCAUAAUCGCGAUACAACCACGCUGUUCCAUUCCCUGGGUAAAAAAAAUAAAAUAAAAGAGCGACGAAACUCCCAAAAAAGUGAAAUUCUUGAAGCUAUGGACACCCACGCAGCGCAAUCGAGAAAUAAAGCAACGCCUGGGAGCAGUAAGUAUCCCCUGAAAUAGUCUUGUUUACUCAUAUCUUCUUUUCGAUUAUAUCAAAAAACAUAGCCUACAAAUGUGUUUUUUUUACAUUUUGUUUUUGUGAACAGGAGAACGCAGGACGAAAGCAUUGAACGACAUUCGGCUAACCGACUCAGGUAAUUAUUUUGAAUUCCUGCUAUAAUUUCUGGGAUUUGUUUGUAUGACUUGAAUUCCUGCUAUAAUUUGUGGGAUUUAUUAGUAAACUGUUUUUGUUAACUCUUAACAGACUAUUUAGGUAAUAAUGCAGUAGUUUUACAUGACAAUCUGUAAAUAGACUAUUCUGCGUAGAUAUAAAUUGACUAUUUUGCAAAUAGACUUUGUUUUUAAAAUAGGUCAAUCUCCAUGCCAUUGUGAUUCGAAAUAGUCUAUUUGCUUGGUUGUCUCAUUUAUUAUUAAACUGUUUUUGUUAAGUGUUAAUAAAAUAUUCUGGAAAGAGUUCAUUAGUAUGUACAUAAACAAUUCUGAAAAAUAGACUAUUCUGCUUAGAUAGACUAUUCUGUAAAUAUUUCUGUAAAUUAACCAAUAAGUAAUUCUCUGCAGACCGUGUUUGAUAUGCAUUUAUUUUUCACAUGAUGUUGAUCUAUAUUGUCUUAACAGAGGGUACACAAUGAUAGUAGCACGUUUCAUACGCCAAAGAACAUUUUCGAGGAACAUUCAAUCAUCGAGGAAGAAAUCGAAAUAGACUACCUCCAAACAUGUGGAUAAAAAUUGUGAAGACUCUUCUAGAAUGGGGGAAGUGCAAGGACAACGGGACGAACAAAAACGCAAACACUAACAUCGCUUGAUCACUGUAACCCUUAAAAUGGAUUUUGUUUAAUGUUGUUGACAGUUGUUAUUUAAAUUUACGUUUUCUUAAUUUUCAAGAUAUGUUUAAACUUUGUUUUGUUAUAGCGAAUAUUGUCCUAUUAGAUAAAUAUAUGUAAUAUAGAUCAAUUUUUAUGUAAGCAUCAUUAAUUCUUCAGUUAAAACAAGUAUAUUUAUGUAAUUAAUUCCAACACAACUAUAAUUUUUCAGUUAAAACAACUAUAUUUCUCUGAAUAACACCAACACAAGUAUAAUUUUCAGUUAAAACAACUAUAUUUCAGUGAAUAGCACCAACACAGCUAUAUUUGUUCUGUUAAAACAACUAUAUUUCUGUGAAUAAAACCAACACAACUAUAUUUCUUCUGUUAAAACAACUAUUUUUCAAUUAAAACAACUAUUUAUCAAUUAAAACAACUACAAAUUAUCAAGAUCAAUUAUCUAGUUGGAUUAAUGAAAUCGACUACAACAGUCGGCAACACCACCUUCAAAAACCUGACCUACGUCUUUUAUCAAAUAAAUCCAAUCAGCACUCAACAACUUCUUGCCCUCAACCGCCGCAGCCACGUUUUCCAAAUCACGAUCUUCCGUAUCCUCACCAUCUUUGUCAUAGCCGAUCAUUGGCAGGGUCAUCUGAGUGUCGGCAUGUCCAAUUGGUGCAUCCACAUGUUGACUCGGUCGAGUCACAAUGCCAGCUACACCCUUCACCUCGAUAUUUAUACGCACCAAAGAUAACUCGCGCAACAAUGCAAACAUGGAUACCAAGUCUUCAUCAUCCGCGAUAAUGCAUUCUCCACAAUCAGCCAUCAUAUAAGUCAUGCUUAUACUAGAUGCAUUCAGACAUUGUCAUUUCGAACACACAAAAUCAACCAAUGCUUGGAAAGUGAGUCCAGAAGAUCGCUUCAAAGCAACCAAACCACCGUACUUCACAAAUAUAUUAACACUGUUAUCCAUCUACAACAAACAUAAUAUUUAAAUGAAACCACAGUUAAUAUAGAAUAUGCAUUAAACAACUAUUAUUGCUUACUGCAUAAACGACUAUAAUUAAACGACUAUAAAUAAAUCAACUAUAAUAGUAAACGAAUUGCGAACAUGUUACUGCAAAACAAAUAGUCGUGUUAUCUGCAUAACACGACUAUAAAAUCUGAACAUACUCAGCACCAAAAAAAAACUCCUGGAUACAAACAUAACUAUUCAUUCAUAGUCCGUACGCUAUCGUUUGCACAAACAACGAAACAACAGUUCACAUAUAUGAAAUCAAUUAGAAGCCACUUUCUGCAAUUACAUCAAAUUCACCAUAUAUAUGAAUCCAAAUUCGAUGCAUCAAAUCUGUAAUAAAACACAACUGCGUUGCAAAAAAUAAAAAUAAAGAAACUCGCCUUCUUCAAUUAUACAUUCGCCGACUCUCUGAACGGAACGAGAUAUGAAUCUCAACACGCACCUUUGGAACGGUUCAAAAAUUAGCACGAUGUUUGAGAGAGAUGAGGCGGUUAUGGAAUAUGCCGAUAUAUCGUGAUCUCAAAGAUUUUCUUCAAAUCAUGUGUUUAAAUAAAUUAAUUACACAAGGGUGAAAAUGUAAAUGUCAAUUAUGAAAUUAUUCAUGAAAAUUCGAAUUUAAUACAUGGGGGGUUUCACUAAUUAUGAAAAGGGGGUUAAACCCACCCUAAUAUAUGUAAAUGAUGUGGGGGGUUUUCACUAAUUAUCCUUUUAUUUUUUGUCUCCUCUUAAAGUUCGCUGAUUUAUUUUAGCGGUUGUUGUUUAUAUCAAAGAAUUUCACAGUCAUUGGUCAUUUCGAAGUUUUACAUUUCUCAAAGCAGGCUCAAUUCAAAUUCCAAUUAAUAAUGGUUUAGUUGUCUAUUUUCUUGAAAUUUCCAUUUAAUGUAAUUCACGAUUGCAUGCUCAACGAUAAUGAAAUAAAAAAUUUCUGUUGGACGAGUUUUCUAAUUUGUUUGCCUAAACUCAAAACAAUAAUAAAGUUGUUUCGUUAACAUAAAACAAUAGGGUCUUUCUAGGGUGAGAUCACCUGUGUUCUAAACUUAUAUGAGAUAUGUAUUAAUCACCAUUAAUUUUCUAAGAUUGAAUCUGGACCCUAGGAAAAUAACACGGCCUAUGUUCUAAAAAAUGAAGUACUUUACCAAAUUAUCCUUCGAUUAUUUUUUUUAUUAGAUUAAUAUAAAAAUGAUUAAUUUACAACUUAAUACAUUCAUCACUCCUAACCAUCCGAGCACAUUAACUUAUUAUGAUAUAUUUAACCAUAAUUGUAUAAAUACUGUUAAUUAAAAUAUUAAUUGCAACAUUCAUUAUUAUUAAAUGAUAUUAAAUAAAUUAUUAACAAAUUUUAAAUUAGAAAGUUUAAAAAAUAUAAAGAAUUGCAGUUCAAUACGCCAAACAUCUAUCAUUAAUUAUAUAAUAUUAUAAUUAUUAAUAAACUCCACCAUUUAAAAAUGUAAAGAAUGCUCAAUUAAAUAUAAAAAAAAAUGCAUAACUUAAUUCAAACUCACUUAUGUUAUUAAAUUGAUACUGUGACAAAUCCAAAUAAAAAAUAAAAUAAUAUGUUUAUUUAGAAGAAGAAAAAUUUAUAACUCAUUCCAAUUAGUAGUUUUCUCACUUUAAAAUAAAAUUAGAUACUACAAAUACUAUAUUGUGAAUUUUCUUUUAAUAUUUAAUUUAAUCAAAUAGUAAGAUUUGAAUCGAUUAAGUUCAAAUCCUUUCAAUUAGUAAACAUUAUUCAAAUAUUUGAAUCGGUUGCUUAACUAUUGACAUAACGUGUUACAUAAUUGAUUUAACUAUUUAUAAGUAAUGUCUAAUAUAUUUUUAAUUUAAUUUUGUCAUAAAAAAUAAAAAAAAUUAAUUCCUCACACAUGUAAGAACCUGAUCGUAAAUCGUAAUAUUUUAUCAAAGCGUAAUAUUUGAACCAAUUAAGCUCAAGUCCUUACAAUUUGUAAACAUUAUUCAAAUAUUUGAAUCGAUUAAUUAGCGCGCUCAACUAUUGACAAGAACGUCUUAAUCAAAUUAACUAUUAUUAAUUAAAGCGCAAAUCCUUUUAAUUUGUAAAUAUUAUUCAAAAAUUUGAAUCGAUUAAGUUCAACCCUGACAAGAACGUAUUAGUCGAGUUAGUUAUUUAUAAUUAAAGUCUACUAUUCUUUUAAUUCAAUUUUAACAAAAUAAUAAUAAUUUAAUUCGUAAAAUCGUAAGAAUCAAAUCGUAAAUCGUAAGAUUUAAUCUAACCAUGAACCGAUUUAAUCUAACCAUGAACCGAUGAAAUCGUACGAUUUUUAUGAAUUAAUUAAAUUUUAUUAUUUUUUAUGAUAAAAUUCAAUAAAAAAAAAGAUACUAAACUUUAACUAUACAUAGUUUGAUUAAUACGCUAUUGUAAAUUAUUGAGUUUAACUGAUUCAAAUAUUUGAAUAUUGUCUACGAAUUGAAAUGAGUUGAGCUUAAUCGAUCAAAUCUUUGAAUAUUGUUUUUGAAUUGAAAACACAUGAGUUUAUUUGAUUCAAAUAUUACGAUUUAAUUAAAUCAAUUUACAAUUCAAUUCAAACUUCAAAUUCUUUCGAAAUUCAUUUUUAAAUUACACGAGUUGAUCAGCAUUUCCUUAGACUUUUAAAAUAUAUUAUAUAAAGAUUUGUUAGUAUGAGAUAUUAUUAAUAUAUAAUUAUAAUUAUAUGAGAAUUAAUAAUUUAUUUAACAUUAUUUAUAUAAGUUUUAUAACCAUUAUAAAUUGUAGCUUUGUGAUAUAUAUCCGUAUUGUUAGUUCAUUGUCAAUUAUGUUUUGUGUCUUAAUGGUAAGUAUUCUUGUAUAUUUUCUAAUGGUCACAAGUUCGAAUUCAGGUGGAUGCAAUUUUGGAUGGGUGGUUUAAUGAUUUUUAUGAAUAAUGAUAUAAUUGAAUUUAUAAAUUUUAAUAUUCAGCAAUAAAUAUAGAUUUAAAAUUGCAUUAAAAUAGAGAGGGUAAAAUUGACAUUUCAUUAAUAGUUUGUAAUUGCCGAUUUUUUUAAAAUAAUUAUUGUACAAAUGGUAUUUGCGACAGUACAUAAAUGAGGAAAAAAUAGGUUUUUUUGCAGGGACACGCAAUUUGAAGGGAUAUCUCAUAUAAUUUUAAAACACAGGAUCUCAUAAUAGAAACACUCAAAACAAUAAUAAAAUAACACCAAAGCAGUAGUAGUUUGGUAGUAACUCUCAGACAACUUUUUCCAACUUAAUUAAAUUACAGUAGAAUCCAAUCAAUUCAUGGUUUGGCACAAAGGCAAUACCCAACAUAUGAUGCUGAUGCCACAAGAGAUGUCACAGUCGUAGAAAUACAGUACAUUCGAAAUUUUUUCUGUGCGUCUUCGAAUUUUUUGUCGAUGGUCGUAUCCAGAGAACUUUUUCCAACUUAAUUAAAUUAUAAAUUACAGUAGAAUCCAAUUAAUUCAUGGUUUGGCAUAAAGGCAAUACCCAACAUAUGAUGCUGAGGCCACAAGAGAUGUUACAGUCGUAGAAAUACAGUACAUUCGAAUUUUUUUCUGUGCAUCUUCGAACGGCCCAACUGUCUACACACAUCUUGUUCAUCUCCUCCACGUGGAUUCUAUUCAAGUUUAAACUAUUUUUCCUCCACGUGGAUUCUAUUCAAGCUUAAACUUUUUUUCCUCAUUUCCAGUACUCUGUGUUUCUGGAUUAAAAAAAAAAAAUAAUAAUUAGCUAGAAUUGAAAAGAAAGAAAAAAGAUCAAACAAGUUAUUCAAAGUCAAAAUUUUGAAUCUAAAUCCCAUAAGAAAGAAAAAGUAAAUAAAAAACUCUAGUCUAAAGUGAUACUUAAUCCAGAAAGACUAUAGAAUUUAAAGUUCAUUUGGCAAAAAGUCACUAAAUAGUAAUAAUUAAUAAAAGAUCAACACAUAGAGCUUUGGAGAUUUAAAUUAGAGCUAAUUGCACAUAACCCCUAUGUAAUUUUUAAUGGCAAAAAAAACCCUCAUAUUAAAAAAAAUUAGCAAGAAUCUCCUUAUAUUAUUUUUUACAAAGCAUACUGCCCCUUAUUUCAUAUUUGGCUGUUGACUUAAGAGAAAUGACAAAAUUAACCUUUAUUAAAAAUAACGAACAAUAUCCCAACCCAAAAAAAAUUUAAAAACAAAUGUACAAAAAUAUGAAAAAAAAGAAGAGAAAAAAAUACUAUUAUUUGAUGAGAAACAUGAAAUAUGAAUUUGUGAACCGGCCCGUCGUCCCCAGGACGUGCCCGGUUCUAUGAAUUCGUGAACCGUGAACCGUCGGGCCGGGCCAGCGGUUCACCCAAAUUUAAAAAAAAAAUAAUAAAAAAAAAUCAAAAAAAGCAAAAAACGGCUGGUGAACCGGCCCGGUGAACUGACCCGCUGAACCCGCCGUUUUUUGCUAUUUUUUGAAUUCCCCCCCCCCCCCCCAUUUUUUCUUAAUAAAUACGCUUGCACCCAUUUUUUUCCUAUAAAAUUAAGUUAAAGUCAUUUUAUUUAUUUCGUUUUGUUUUCUUUUUUCUAUUUAAAAGUAAUUAUUUUAAUUUAUUUAUCCAUUAAGCAUUUUUUUUAAAUAUAUAUAUAUAUAUAUAUAUAUAUAUAUAUAUAAAUCAAAUUUUCCGGGCCGACCCGUGAACCAGCCUGGAUAGGCCCGGAACGGGAUUGAACCGGCGGGCCGACCCGACCUACCGAACCGUGCAUAUUACGAGCCGGUUCCGGUUCCGGAAAAAGUGAACCGUGAACCGGUAUGAACCGGCCCGUGGCCGUGUCUAGGUGUUGUCCACAAUAAGUUUUCAGGAGCCUUAAUAAUUUUGACUAAUUUUCAAGGGAGGUCCUUGCUAAUUUUUUUAAUACGAGGACAUUUUCAGCAGUUCGAAAUUAGACAGGUUGUUUUUGCAAAAAAAACCCAUUUAACUUGGUGCAACUACUGCUCAUCUUCCAAAAAAAUUUCCCAAUUUUGUGAAGCUUAUGACUAGAUCACAUGUGGAAACGAAAAAUCUAAAGAAUAAAUUAAAAAAAAAAGUACGGCAACACAAUUCAAUCUUGCUUUUCGAAGCAUGUGUGUAAAAAACUCUACAACCGAGAUUAUUCAAGAAAAUCACCAGAAAUCCGUGAAAAGAACUGUCAAUACAACAUAUCAUUGACUGAAAUAAUCAACAGAAAGAAUCCAUAAAUACAUAUACACACACACACACACACACACACACACACACACACACACACACACACCUUGUUUCAGUAUAAGAAUAAGGAAAUUACCAGAGCAAUUUGGUCAACCAAAUCUCCUCCGUCUUCGUACGACUUGACUAAUCCGGACAUCCUCCGCCUCGAAGAAAUUGCUUCGUACGGAUUGACUAAUUCGGACAUCUUCCGCCUCGAAGAAAUUGAGGAAGGACAAGUGGAUUUCGAAAAUCGAAUCAUACGCUGAAACACAACCAUCAAGAAGAUCUCGCGCAACGGCAGCCCUAGAAGCAACGACGGAUAAAUAUGAUUUUGUUUGCCCUAGAAUUGCCUGCCUCUUAUGUAUUAUAUAUUGUUGGGCAAAGUUCAG